AGUGAACGCUGGCGGUAGGCCUAACACAUGCAAGUCGAACGGCAGCACAGUAAGAGCUUGCUCUUACGGGUGGCGAGUGGCGGACGGGUGAGGAAUACAUCGGAAUCUACUUUUUCGUGGGGGAUAACGUAGGGAAACUUACGCUAAUACCGCAUACGACCUACGGGUGAAAGCAGGGGAUCUUCGGACCUUGCGCGAUUGAAUGAGCCGAUGUCGGAUUAGCUAGUUGGCGGGGCAAAGGCCCACCAAGGCGACGAUCCGUAGCUGGUCUGAGAGGAUGAUCAGCCACACUGGAACUGAGAAACGGUCCAGACUCCUACGAGAGGCAGCAGUGGGGAAUAUUGGACAAUGGGCGCAAGCCUGAUCCAGCCAUACCGCGUGGGUGAAGAAGGCCUUCGGGUUGUAAAGCCCUUUUGUUGGGAAAGAAAAGCAGCAGGUUAAUACCCCGCUGUUCUGACGGUACCCAAAGAAUAAGCACCGGCUAACUUCGUG
rnacentral:rRNA from 1 species